UACGGGGGGGGCAAGCGUUGUUCGGAAUUACUGGGCGUAAAGGGUUCGUAGGUGGCCAACUAAGUCAGACGUGAAAUCCCUCAGCUCAACUGGGGAACUGCGUCUGAUACUGGAUGGCUUGAGUGCAGGAGAGGAACGCGGAAUUCCAGGUGUAGCGGUGAAAUGCGUAGAUAUCUGGAGGAACACCGGUGGCGAAGGCGGCGUUCUGGACUGCAACUGACACUGAGGAACGAAAGCCAGGGGAGCAAACGGG
rnacentral:rRNA from 1 species